rnacentral:lncRNA from 1 species
AUGUGAAUUGUCAUUAAUGACAUUUUUGCUUUAUAAUUUUAAUCAAAUAAGUAUCAAAAAGUAUGAAGCUUUGAUACCAGAAGAACUGGUACAAAAAUGUUGAUAUCGUGACAAACUUUCUCUAUAAGAAUACAUUCUAAGAUACUGUUCUCUACACCUUCGUAUGACGGUAAUGAUAAUCAUCAUACAGCAAUCACAACUGAAGAUGCGUCUGCUAAUUGAAAACUCCUGUUGACCUCUUUUUCAUCCCGAAUAUACGUAUAAAUAUGUAGGAAAUUGAAUGGAUAGGGUUAUUUAUGUACAUAUUUACAAAAUAAAAGUAUAUAUAAAUUUCUCUAUAA